rnacentral:rRNA from 1 species
UGGUUCUCUCCGAAAUAGCUUUAGGGCUAGCCUCAAGUGAUGAUUAUUGGAGGUAGAGCACUGUUUGGACGAGGGGCCCCUCUCGGGUUACCGAAUUCAGACAAACUCCGAAUGCCAAUUAAUUUAACUUGGGAGUCAGAACAUGGGUGAUAAGGUCCGUGUUCGAAAGGGAAACAGCCCAGACCACCAGCUAAGGUCCCAAAAUAUAUGUUAAGUGGAAAAGGAUGUGGCGUUGCCCAGACAACUAGGAUGUUGGCUUAGAAGCAGCCAUCAUUUAAAGAGUGCGUAAUAGCUCACUAGUCGAGUGACACUGCGCCGAAAAUGUACCGGGGCUAAACAUAUUACCGAAGCUGUGGAUUGUCCUUUGGACAAUGGUAGGAGAGCGUUCUAAGGGCGUUGAAGCAUGAUCGUAAGGACAUGUGGAGCGCUUAGAAGUGAGAAUGCCGGUGUGAGUAGCGAAAGACGGGUGAGAAUC